rnacentral:rRNA from 1 species
CCCUUAGAUGUUCGGGGCCGCACGCGCGCUACACUGAAGGAGUCAGCACGUCUUUCUCCUUGUCCGAAAGGACUGGGUAACCCGCUGAACCUCCUUCGUGCUAGGGAUUGGGGCUUGUAAUUCUUCCCCAUGAACGAGGAAUUCCCAGUAAGCGCGAGUCAUAAGCUCGCGUUGAUUACGUCCCUGCCCUUUGUACACACCGCCCGUCGCUACUACCGAUUGGAUGGUUUAGUGAGAUCCUCGGAUUGGUCCCGGCGCGGCCUCUGGUCGUGCCGGAGUGCCGAAAAGAAUGUCGAACUUGAUCAUCUAGAGGAAGUAAAAGUCGUAACA